rnacentral:rRNA from 1 species
CCUACGGGUGGCAGCAGUGGGGAAUAUUGCACAAUGGGCGCAAGCCUGAUGCAGCCAUGCCGCGUGUGUGAAGAAGGCCUUCGGGUUGUAAAGCACUUUCAGCGGGGAGGAAGGCGUUAAGGUUAAUAACCUUGUCGAUUGACGUUACCCGCAGAAGAAGCACCGGCUAACUCCGUGCUAGCAGCCGCGGUAAUACGGAGGGUGCAAGCGUUAAUCGGAAUUACUGGGCGUAAAGCGCACGCAGGCGGUCUGUCAAGUCGGAUGUGAAAUCCCCGGGCUCAACCUGGGAACUGCAUUCGAAACUGGCAGGCUAGAGUCUUGGAGAGGGGGGUAGAAUUCCAGGUGGAGCGGUGAAAUGCGUAGAGAUCUGGAGGAAUACCGGUGGGGAAGGGGGCCCCCUGGACAAAGACUGACGCUCAGGGGCGAAAGCGGGGGGAGCAAACAGGAUUAGAUACCCUAGUAGUC